UAGAGUAAGAAACAGAACUUGUAUCCUUGCCUUGGAGUGUGUGUGUGUAGUGUGCAGGCCCAGAAAAUGUGCAUGCCUUCCGGCAGCUGAGUGCCUCUCCUCUAUAGAGAAACAGGUAAGAAGCCUCCUUAAGCGCACUCCUGCCUGCAGUUGAGCACCUCUUCUCUAGAGUAAAAACAGCUUAAAUGCCUAUGAUAGGAAGGGAAGCCAUAAUGGGCUGAUAGAAAAUGUUUUUUUUUACUUUUCAAUAAGCAUGGUAUUCCCACUUCCCCACAUUCUUUGUCCUCUUCUUUUUAAAAAAUACUCUUAAUUUUAAUCUGAAAUUGUUCGCUUUCAUCAAAUCAAUUAAUUUGUUAGCAAUACUGACACCACUAGACCUGCUGAAGGUAAGCAAGCAACCACUAAAAUGUGACGGAGAAAUUAGUGGCGGCAACUUCCCCAACACCUGUUCACAGCUCCCUUGGCAAGAACCGAAGUCGACACAAACCUCUAUAAUGAUUCUCAUCAUGCAAAACCCAUCACCGGAGAAAGAGUUUAGCUGACAGGCCCAGUGGGAGAGUUCUCACUGGAUGGUUUAAAAUGUGAAGAUGAAGCACUGCACAAGAUGCUAAUUCCUACAUACUUGCUCGCACCAUUUAGAUUUAAAAAUAAAAUCCCAUUGAGAAUUCUUCAGACAAUUUGAAUUCCUGUUGCUCCAAUGCCUCAUAGUUCAGUCACUCACAGUAACAUUUCUCUUCUUGAGUAGUUCCUGGAAUGUGUAAAAAACCAUUCAUUCUCUAGUAUUACUGCUCAUUUAAAUGAAUCGUCCUUUGGUUAAGUCUCUAUUUAUUUAUUUAUUUAUUUAUUUAUUUAUUUAUUUAUUUAUUUAUUUCCAUCAUUUCUAUCCUGCCCUUCUCACCCGAAGGGACUCAGGGCAACUUACAAAACUGGCAGAAUUCGAUGCCAAUACACAACAAUACAAAAGAAUAAAAACAUACGCAGUUAAAUACAGAUUUAAAACAAUACAAAAUAUUUGAGCCAUUCAUCCACAAAAACCUUGUACAUAAACCUUAGUCCAGACCAAGUCGAAGCCAACAAAACUUAUUCUUUGAAUGCUUGCUCACAUAUCCAGGUCUUCACUUUCUUUCUAAAACUCAAAAGGGGUGGAGCCUGCUAGAUGUCAUUAGGGAGGGAGUUCCACAGCUGAGGAGCCACCACUGAGAAAGCCCUGUCUCCCGUCCCCACCAGCCACACCUAUGAGGCUGGUGGGACCGAGAGUAGGGCCUCCCCUGAAGAUCUUAAAUUAUGUGGUAGGUCAUAGCGGGAGACACGUUUGGACAAGUAAGCUGGGCCGGAACCGUUCAGAGCUUUAUAGGCUAAAGCCAGCACUUUGAAACGUGCUCGGUAGCUAAUCGGCAGCCAGUGGAGCUGAUGUAACAGAGGAGUAGUGCACUCCCUGUACGCCGCUCUGGUUAACAACUUGGCUGCCUCUCGUUGGACUAAUUGAAGCUUCUGAACAGUCUUCAAAGGCAGCCCCACAUAGAGUGUGUUGAAGUAGUCUAAUCAGGAUGUAACAAGAGCAUGGACCACCAUGGCCAAGUCUGGCUUCUCAAGGUAUGGGCGCAGCUGGCACACAAGUUUUAGCUGUGCGAAGGCUCCCCUAGCCACCACUGAGACCUGGGGCUCCAGGCACAACGAUGAGUCUAAGAUCACCCCCAGAGUGCGAACCUGCGUCUUCAGGGGGAGUGUGACCCCGUCCAACACAGGCUGUAACCCUAUACCCUGUAUAUAUAUAUAUAUCCUAAACAGAACUUGACUAGUUUGUUUGUUUUUUUACUUAAACUUCCAGAAUCGUUCAGCCUUGGAGCUUGAGUGGAUUCCACCUCCUGUAAGAAUAUUGCCCCAUGAAAUUUCCUUUACUUUCCAAAUGUCUACCAUAGCAAUAACUUUCAGUUGAACAUUUAGAAAUACAAGUCCUGCAAAGGCCAUCACAUGACGUAAGGGCACUUCCAGUGGGACUCCGUGGGACUCAAUGUCCAAAGCACAUGGAAACAGAACCCAGAAUGUGUUUUAAGGAGUUGGGCACUACCCGGCUACAAACAAAAUAAAGCUGUUAUCCCUUUUGGGCCACAUAGCAGUGUGGGAGAAGGAAUAUUUUUUACCAGAAAAUACUUGAAAGAGAUCCUUGUCCUUUAAUGUGUUUUUCUGAUCUUUAUCCAAAAUUGAAGGAGAGUGACACAAAAGACACCACUUUACACCAACUCAUAUUAUUUAGCUCGCUAUUGCCUUCUAUAAUCAACAGUAGGUCAAUGAAAGAGAUUUCCUAUUGCUUUCUGCAUUAAGGAAAGGAUCCCCCCUCCAACACACACAAAUAAGGGUCAGAUCAUGAAUCCCAUCCUAGCUUUUUGCAACAGUAGCUCUUAACACAUGUAGAUGUUCAUUUUAACAUGAAUCUUCUUAAAGUUGUAACUGAUAAGUAGUGUUCAUCAUGAUAUCCAAAAGACGUGAAAUCAUUUAAUACAAUAAUACUCGUUUGUUCAGCAAUUGGACGUAGCAAUUGCAUUCAAGGGGGGUGGGAGUUUUUGAAGUGUGGUUAUCAAAUCCAUGGAGAAGGGUAUUCUUCUCAAUUGAUAUUGUAUCCUUCUCUUACUCAAUGGGAGAAACAAGGCAGGAGGACAGAGGUUUAAUUCUCAACUACUAUUAGAAAUGUUGGAGCCGAGCAACUUUUUACUAUGCUAGUUUUGGCAAAAAGAAUAGGGGUUCUUCAGCACCUGCCCCCAAUCAUGUGGAGGCAGGAUAUUCUGUAUGGGCACAUUUGCUAUGAUUUUUAGGACAUGUGUGAAUUGAACAAUUCUGCUUUAGAGCAGCAAAUCCAAAUCCAAUUGGUAAUCCCAACCAGAGCAAGCACACAAAACCAAUUGCUGGAUGUUAAAUGAAUAGUAUGUAAAUUAAGUUGAUUCACUCUAAUUGGGACUAACAACUAUUUAGUCCUAUAAACUGCAAUGUUCAGCAAGAAUGAUUUUGUAAAAUAUACUUUUUCAAGCCACUUUCAUUCCUUAACUGAUGCCAGUUCCCAAGUAGAUCUAGUAAUCAUCCUUAAAUGCCCACUCCGUAAUGCCCAAGGCCUUAUUUAGCAAGAGUCAAAUUGAUAUGAAGCUUAAGAAUGCCAUUCCGCUUCUCAUGUGUCCCAUGUGAUCAACGUUUAUUAGCAAGCUGUGUACAUCAGCUUCCUCUGAAAUACAGAUCCAUACAUCUAAGAGAACAAGACAGCAUUUCAGGACAGAAUGAAUUCAUAGACUGGCUCCAACAAGAAUGCUCAUAACAUCCCCUAACAAAUGACCAUAUAUUGAGUGCAAAAGAAUUUACAUCUGUUUAAUAACAUAAUUAUUUACCAUAAUGACUUUAUUUUAUAUACAAAACUGGGUUAGAUUUGUAAUGCUCAACCCUAUGUUAAUGAUUCUAUUCUAGUACUGUAUUAAUUAAAGUCACUUACAUAGCUUUUGAAACACACAUCUAGCAAUGGGCACAUUCCAUCUUAUCCCUAGAAUGAAAUUUAAUGCUGGUGGUAGCAAUAAGCUGACCAUUUGGACAACAUUUUUAAUAACCAGGUAACUAAAAAGCAACUGCAUGCUUAAUUCAAACACUUUGGCCUUGUACAUAGCCUAUUUGUAGUUGUACUCCCUCCUGUUGUUUGAAUUCCAUUUGCCUUUCACUUUUAGCUAGUUUCAUAAAGUGCCCCAUAAAGGCACACUGGGGAGUCAUUCCGGAAUAAUUCCAUGGCUAAUAUAGCUAGGGUUCCUAAGAUCCUUUUGAGCUUGCACAGGAAAUGGUAAAACAUUUCCUGUGGAAUUAACUUUUGUUGAAAAUGUAAAGACAACCAAGUCUCAGAAUGGUUCAGAAUCUUUGAAAAGAUGGAUGACAUCUUCAUGAACACAAAAAUAAAUUUAUCUUGUCGUGUUAAAAUAAACUGGGCUUUUUGUGUUGUACAAGGGCCACUGUUAUUGGAUACUAUUUUUUGUGACAAUUUUAGGAUUUGUGUGUAUGGGUGCAAACUUGUGUGUACCCAUCCUUCAGCUUUUGAUGUUACUAUUAUGUUAUUACUAUGGUGUAGUGAUUUCAGGAACCCAUAGUGAUUUCAUUGAAACCCAUAGAUAGGUUUCAAAUGCCUUCAGACAUGGAGACUUACUGGUUGACAUUGGUCACACUGUCUCAGCAUCAGAAGGCACCCCACAAUAAAAGUUUCCAAGAAAACUCAGUGAUAGAUUUGCCUUAUGGCCACUUUAUUUUAGAAAUACAGUAGAGUCUCACUUAUUCAACAUAAACGGGCCAGCAGAAUGUUGGAUAAGCGAAUAGAUUGGAUAAUAAGGAGGGAUUAAGGAAAAGCCUAUUACACAUCAAAUUAGGUUAUGAUUUUACAAAUUAAGCACCAAAACAUCAUGUUUAACAACAAAUUUGACAGAAAAAGUAGUUCAAUACGCAGUAAUGCUAUGUAGUAAUCACUGUAUUUACUAAUUUAGCACCAAAAUAUCACGAUGUAUUGAAAACAUUGACUACAAAAAUGCGUUGUAUAAUCCAGAACAUUGGAUAAGUGAGUGUUGGAUAAGUGAGACUCUAUUGUAACUAUUUUCCUUCUUUGGUGAACCUAACUUGUUAUAACUUCUUCAUAUUUAACAAGAAUUUAGCUAAAAUGGGAUAUAUUUUCUUAUAGAAAUUGCUAAGUUUGAAAGGCUUCCAUCCCAAUUAUAAUUGCUAUGUCUUAAUAUGGUGAUUUCAGCUAGGACCAGGGUUAAAAGGGUCCGUGCCUGGUGAGCAUCCGCAAAACCAGAUCAGCCAGGACAGAGAACAGCUCUCCGGGUUGAAGGCAAGCCACAGAAGUUUAUUACGAUUUGGCCAAAAUGGAUACAAAAGGCUGCAAAAGAGGCUGGCUAGGAUCUGUGCCUGGAUUGGCUGGGGGUUCCCCUGAUGUCACCGCCUUCAGGAGGAGUUUUCCAGGGCAGGAAGAAUGGCAGCUAAUGGUUGGUCAGUUCUAAGAACCAGUUCGUUGCAGAUAUACCACCUGGGAGGGCACAGUCCAUGAGGAAAUAAUGGUGAAGAUAUGCCGAUGAGUCUCUGAUUACCUCAAGUGUCUGUUCCGUGUGAGACAAAGGUACAACACUCAGAAGCCAAAGGUGGUGACUUUAGACAAUCAAAGACUUGGCUGCUGGCAUAGAAAAUUAAGGAAUGCACAUCUACUAAGCCUUCUCUUCCAUGGGAGUAGCAGAGCUUCAGCCUCAGAUUAAAUGGACAAACAUCCCAAGCUUAUUUUGUUGAUACACAAUGGUUCUGAUAGUUAUCUGGCUUGGGAAAUGGUUGGAGGGAUUCUGGCCACAGUCCCCUUUCUCAAGGGAUUAUGUAAAUUGGGUCAUGGAGAGGUGGGUGCCUUCAAGUUACAUUUUAAUACAUAUAUUAGAAACAGUUUAUACACUUCAUCUAGUAGGAAUCGACACAGCACAUAGUAUAUAAAUGAUACAAGUUAUACAAAAAUUGAUACAUUUUAUUAAAAGGCUAGAUUUGAUAGAGUUUGUAGGGUACAGCAUGUGUUAGGUUCAUUCCAGAGCCUCUACCGCUUUAGCAUUUCACAACUCUGAUCUCUCUCAAAAAAAAAAAAAAAAAAAAAAAUUAUAUUAUUUGCCUGAAGUGUCUUGAUUAUAUAUGUGUGUGUGUGUGUGUGUGUGUGUGUGUGUAUGUAUAAUGGCUCGAUAAUACAGAGAUUUGAUUCCUUUCUUCAGGGGAGAGGGGAAGAUUUUUUUUUAAAGCUGUGAACUUCUAGUUUAUGCCACUACUGGCUUCUUCAGAGUAUGGCUGUAUAUUCACUGACCAACCUUCUCUUCCCUUCCUUUCAUAAGUUUCUCAAACGGAGUCAGGCACCAGUACUCAGCAGGAGAGAGCUGCCAGCAUUAAGAAAUUCUCAGCUGCUUCAGGAGUCACAACCCUAAAUCCGCCUUGAUUGCUGCUUUGUGGUUUUCCCAUCUUAUUAACCCUUGCAAUUCUGUGUUCGACUUCCUUACUUUAUCCUAAAUAAUGGACAAAAGUAAAAGUGUGUUUCACCAUUACAA